ACAUGCCUAUAGGAUAGCAUUAAUGCACCUGGUCCCAUUAGAACUCUGCAGUUAAGCAUGCUCAGGCUAAAGUAAUAUUGGGAUGGGUGACCUCCCAGGAAGUCCUAGUGUUUUACAUGCC
rfam:Picea glauca, whole genome shotgun sequence.